rnacentral:precursor_RNA from 1 species
AACUUAUUUGUUAAAGAAACUUAGGAAUACUAUUAAAAUAAAUCUGACAGUGAAUAUUCUAAUUAUAUUCCUAAAAUUUUCCUUCAAGUAUUUAAGCAUCUUUUGGUGGUUCUUAUACAAUUCCAUGUGACAUUUAAAUUGUUGAUAAACUACUUUCUUGAUAAAUCUGACAGUGAAUAUUCUGAUUAUAUUCCUAAAGUUUUCCUUCAAGUAUUUAAGCAUCUUUUGGUGGUUCUUAUACAAUUCCAUGUGGCAUUUAAAUUGUUGAUAAACUACUUUCUUGAUGAAUUUUAUAUUAAUGUAUGAUCUAUUUCCAUUGCAGAAUCAUUAGAUGAUUACUUGUGGCUUUCUUGCAAGUUGUGCAGUUGCUGCCUCAAGCUUGCUGCCUCCCUCUGCCAAAUCUAUCAGCAAAAAAAGAAAAUCAUGUCAGUUUCCUUGAACUAUAUACAUAUGAUUAAUCUAGAAACGCAGUAUGUUGCCAAAAAUCACACACAACUCAAUCACAUAUGCAUUUGAGAUGAGGUAAAAUGCUAUCUGAUUCACAUAGUUCCAAUAUCUCAAGAUGUGGGAUAUGCCUAGCACAAGUGCAUCAGAGUGUUAUAGUUGUUCAGUCUUCAGUGCUUAUUAUUCUAGAUUAA